rnacentral:rRNA from 1 species
UACGGAGGAUGCGAGCGUUAUCCGGAUUUAUUGGGUUUAAAGGGUGCGUAGGCGGUUCGUUAAGUCAGCGGUAAAAUUGCGGGGCUCAACCACGUCGAGCCGUUGAAACUGGCAGACUUGAGUUGGCGAGAAGUACGCGGAAUGCGCGGUGUAGCGGUGAAAUGCAUAGAUAUCGCGCAGAACUCCGAUUGCGAAGGCAGCGUACCGGCGCCAGACUGACGCUGAGGCACGAAAGCGUGGGGAUCGAACAGG